GGUGUAUUCCUUGCAAAAGACUUGUUAGUAAUUUUCAAAUAUAAUAAAACUUAUCAUCUUAUUAUCAUCUUUUAUUAUUUUUGGAUUGUAUACUUCUUUAUCUGUGGAUUAUUAUUUAAAUCAUAAUACAAGCAUGUCUAAUGUUUACAUGUUGUUUAGAUCCUGCUCUACAUUAAGAAGCCUUUUUGAGAUAUCGUAAAUAUAAAUCAAAUAUUUUAUAUAUAACCACAACCAAUAUAACCUAAUUAAUAUAUAAACAAAGUGAAUAACCAUUCCUAAUGUUAGCUUGUUGUUUAUUAAUAUAUUUUCUUUACAUUUUCACUGUUAGUUUUCAUUAUGUUAAUACAGUUGUUGCAUCUUCCACAGAAUUAUGAUUUCUUUCUUUUCAUAGUGUUUUGUUGUAAUUAUACACUUUUUUUUGUUAUUUUUAGUUCAAUCUACCCAGCCUAUUUUAUUUAUCUUUAUUACUUUUUUUAUCUUUUGCAACAUCUUCAUCUGCAAUGAGUACUCUAGUUCCAUCCUCAAUUGCAUUGAGUGUUCCAUCUACAUCUGCAAUAAUUGUUACAUCUUCAGCUACUACAAGUGAUUUUCCAACUUCAUUGGUGUCAUCACCAUCUCUGCCACCUGGUGCCAAUAAUUCUGAAGAAAACCUCUAAAGUUUGUCAAGGAAUGAUUUUCUUAUAUGGUGCCUGGGUCUAAAUCAAAUCGGACUUUUUGUAUAUGGGCCCAGAAUGGAGGCAAAAACUUGCCUCAUUUUAAAUUUCAGCCUACUGGUGGCAGAAGAGAAAACCUUGUUGUUAACCACUAUAAAUACACUUAUUAAUAUGUGUAUGUAGAUACACUUAUAGGUGUAUCUAGAUACACCUAUUAGUAGAUAUAUUAGUAUAGUGUGUAUAUAGUAGAUUUAUUAGUAUAGCGUGUAUAUAUAUUUUUAGUUUAUAU